rnacentral:rRNA from 1 species
UAACGGCUCACCUAGGCGACGAUCCCUAGCUGGUCUGAGAGGAUGACCAGCCACACUGGAACUGAGACACGGUCCAGACUCCUACGGGAGGCAGCAGUGGGGAAUAUUGCACAAUGGGCGCAAGCCUGAUGCAGCCAUGCCGCGUGUAUGAAGAAGGCCUUCGGGUUGUAAAGUACUUUCAGCGGGGAGGAAGGGAGUAAAGUUAAUACCUUUGCUCAUUGACGUUACCCGCAGAAGAAGCACCGGCUAACUCCGUGCCAGCAGCCGCGGUAAUACGGAGGGUGCAAGCGUUAAUCGGAAUUACUGGGCGUAAAGCGCACGCAGGCGGUUUGUUAAGUCAGAUGUGAAAUCCCCGGGCUCAACCUGGGAACUGCAUCUGAUACUGGCAAGC